CCCCGCAAGGGGCAAGUAGAGUGGCAAACGGGUGAGUAACACGUGGGUGACCUGCCUUCGAGCGGGGGAUAACGUCCCGAAAGGGACGCUAAUACCGCAUAACAUCCUGCCUUUGAAGAGGUGGAGAUCAAAGCUGGGGAUCGCAAGACCCGGCACUUGAAGAGGGGCCCGCGUCUGAUUAGCUAGUUGGUGGGGUAAUGGCCUACCAAGGCAACGAUCAGUAUCCGGCCUGAGAGGGCGGACGGACACACUGGGACUGAGACACGGCCCAGACUCCUACGGGAGGCAGCAGUGGGGAAUUGUUCGCAAUGGGCGCAAGCCUGACGACGCAACGCCGCGUGGAGGAUGAAGAUUUUCGGAUCGUAAACUCCUGUCGAAUGGGACGAAAAGAUUGCGGGUUAACAGCCCGUAGUCCUGACGGUACCGUUAAAGGAAACCCCGGCUAACUCCGUGCCAGCAGCCGCGGUAAUACGGGGGGGGUAAGCGUUGUUCGGAAUUACUGGGCGUAAAGGGCUCGUAGGCGGCCAACUAAGUCAUACGUGAAAUCCCUCAGCUUAACUGGGGAACUGCGUGUGAUACUGGAUGGCUUGGAUUUGGGAGAGGGAUGCGGAAUUCCAGGUGUAGCGGUGAAAUGCGUAGAUAUCUGGAGGAACACCGGUGGCGAAGGCGGCAUCCUGGACCAAUAUUGACGCUGAGGAGCGAAAGCCAGGGGAGCAAACGGGAUUAGAUACCCCGGUAGUCCUGGCCCUAAACGAUGAAUGCUUGGUGUAGCGGGUAUCGAUCCCUGCUGU
rnacentral:rRNA from 1 species